rnacentral:ribozyme from 1 species
CCCGACUCUAGUUGCUACCUUUAUGUGGUGGUCCGGUUUUCUUAUCUUGAUGGUUUAGGUGAACUAUAUUGACUGGAAUAUUUAGUCCUGUAGGUCGGCUAGAGAGAGGUAGCACUAAAAGCAAC